rnacentral:lncRNA from 1 species
AUUUCAAAAAAUGCAAGAGAUCUCUAUGAGUGGAUCUUCUCGUCCAACUUUGGUUCCCGGAUAGGGCUGCAUUUUAUUUACAAACAAUCUUUGAGAGAUGAGAAGGACUUAAUAGGAAAGGGUUUGGCAGAUAUAGAGGAACUGUUUUGUGGAGAGGUGCUGCCAGAGAGGAAGGGGGGCAAACAGCUUUGCAAGAUGCAGUACCUCGUUUAGACUCAGUGUCUGCCUGAGCCUCAGCUGACUCAUCUGUAAAACCAGAAGAGGCAACUCAACAACUGGAGAAUCAGAUCAUUGCCUUUUCAUUUUGCAAGGGUGGUUUUUGCAGCAUGAGGGAAUUGAAAAUGGUCUUUUCAUAUAGACAAGUAGCAGAAAGUGGAACCUACCAAAUUUUACUGCCAUGUGAUUCCAUUGUAGUCUUUUAAGAAGGUCAUGUGACUGGCUUCGUGUCACCUGGAGAGGUGUGGGCACAUCUGAAACUCGACUCAAGACCUUCAGUUUCUCAGUGUGGUGCUCCUUCCCAUUCAUCACUCUGCCUCAGGUGCUGUAUGUAUAUUAUCACAUAUAAUCAUUACGACAACCGUGUAAGUUGUCCACUGUGCUGAGCUCAGCCCCAGAGAAUCUUGUUUCCACCGAGCCAAAAUCUUAUAAGACACUUCAGAUCAAGGGACUUAACUCUUUUCCAAGCCCAAGACACCAAGAAUGUCAAGUACUUUGGGAGUCCUUGUGUUUUGAGGCUCAAACAUCAGAUAACUGAACACCAAGGUGUUUAUUGAAGUGAGCCAGUUGCAUUGUUUUCUGACUCUGGCAGGAAAAAUAAAGUGGAGUUACUCUCUAAAUAAACUUUACUGCUUGAACACCCAUCACAUUUUGACCCUCGAAUUCCCCUACAGCUGAAAUGCACGCAUGAUGGUGGGAGUUGAAGCAUCCAUCUUGUACUAUUAAAUGACAGGAGUGUGUAGGAAAGGUGUAUGUACUUUUACAUGAAAAAUGCGUGUAUAGCAACAAGAAAGAAGGAACCUGCAUUCCGGAUGAUUGUGGGGCUGCCAUAUCAGCCCUGGACCACCU